rnacentral:rRNA from 1 species
UCAAGAAUAUUCCCCAAUGCGCGAAAGCGUGAGGGAGCGACGCCGCGUGCCAGAAGAAGCCCUUCGGGGUGUAAAUGGCUUUUCUUCGGGACGAACACUGACGGUACCGAAGGAAUAAGAGGUUGCUAACUCUGUGCCAGCAGCAGCGGUAAUACAGAGACCUCAAGCGUUAUCCGGAUUUAUUGGGCGUAAAGCGUCUGUAGGUGGCCUGAUGCAUCUUCCGUUAAAUUCUUUGGCUCAACCAAGGAACCGCGGAAGAGAUGAUCAGGCUCGAGGCCGGGAGAGGCAAGUGGAAUUGUCGGUGUAGCGGUAAAAUGCGUUAAUAUCGACAAGAACACUCAAGGCGAAGGCAUCUUGCUAGAACGGCCCUGACACUGAGAGACGAAAGCGUGGGUAGCGAAAGGG